CCCCCGCCUGGAAACCCAAAAGAUCGAAUGGGGAGAUUCAUCGUCAGCUCAUUUUGUAUAUGUAUAAGUUAUGAUGCGGGUUACUACUUGUAGUAUUGCCUGCACAUUCUUGUAUAUUUAGUUGCAAGAUGUUGUCGGCGUGCACUUCUCCCCUAGUAGGACGUCGCGACCUGUUGGGUGUCGGUCUACGGCCCAAGUGAUAGUCUUUAAUGUAAUUUAAAAAACAUUGAAGAUCCUUGGUGUUUUCUGCGGCGGUACUUGGCAGUAUUCGUACGGUAUUUAGCCGCUAAAUUUAUUAAGCGUCCAUAUCUGUCACAAGCGAGGCUAAUUUACUGAUAGUACGGACCUAGUGCCGUCGUCGGUAUUGGCCAGCUGUUGGUUGAUGGUAUUCUAGGACUGGCUAAAAUUAAUUACCGGUCGGCGACGCUACUGCUUUGGGUACUUUCAGGACCCGUCUUGAAACACGGACCAAA
rnacentral:rRNA from 1 species